ensembl:misc_RNA
CUGAAGAUUAAAGGAUGAUUUAUCCACAGAAGAUUUACAGCCUGGGGAGCAGCAGUGAAAGUUUCUUCACAGUGCCUCGCCAGUAUACCUCGACUUUGAGCUGGGAAAAGAGCAAUUCUUUCACUGAGAAGGCAGCUGAACCUGAAUACCCAUUCAAUUUUGCACCUCU